rnacentral:misc_RNA from 1 species
UAAUAAGUGUUUAUGGCACUUUUUAAAUCCAUAUCCACCUUGUGUGCAAUGUCGGUCGAUCUUCUUUUUUUGAGGAUCGACCAAGACGAUCAACCUUAUUUUUUAACUCUUUGUCUGAAGAAUAUAUUAAAUAAACAAUUCAAAAUA